CUACUUUCUACUUUAGAGACACUUAUGUAUUCCCUGAAAAAAUCCAUAAUAACCUCUUCGUCCAGCCUCAUUCGUUCUAUAGUCUCUUCCUUGAUGUAGUUUCUCUGUGUCAGAAGAUGAUCAAUGUAAACCACAACGGUCUCCUCCAGGCAAGCUUCAACAAAUCUCCUGAACGAUCUUUCUUCAAUGUACAUCUUCACAUCUGUAAAAUAGUCGCCAAAUGUUGCAACUAAGUACUCUGUGACUUGUCCUUCACACCAUUCUUUCUGAUAAAGCUUCACAAGCAACUCCUGCACUCCAGGGUCUUCAAAGAUAACCCUUACAGUUAGAUGCACAGCUUCCUUUGCAACCUCUAGGAAACCUUUGCAAGUAUCUUCAAAAUUAACCUGCUCAGCAUAGUUUUGAGGAAGUGCUUCAAUGGUGCUGUUGCUCAGCUCCAUUGAAAGGUCGUAACAGCGCAGAUUGUUGUUUAUCAUUGCACAUAAAGGUUCCAGACCAAUAUCAGAAGCAGGCUCCUCAAGUCUCUUCCUUUCAGCUGCUUGAAAAUCUAUCAUCACCUGAAUUAUUGCCAAAGAAAUCCUAUAUAGCAUCACAUCAGUGCUAUUGUCCCUAACAAUUUGAAUUUGCUCUCCUAGAAUCCUGAACAGAUCAACAGCAGCUGGAGUGUACAGCUUUCCAUCGUCCGUUUUCUUUGGUGGCUGUACCUUAUCAGCUUCCAGGAUAUUCAAGUACCAUUUCCUUGUUGUAGCUUGCAUUCUCUCAACAUAUGAGUUCAUAAGGGGAUCCAUGGCACCACUCUCCGAACAAACUUGUGCCAGAGACUCAUCAACACCAAGGCCAAUCAGAUUAUCUUGGUAUUCAACUACCCAACCAGUUACCUUUAAAAUCUCUAUAUUUGAUAUUUCAUUUGCCCUUUCACUAAGCAAUCUGAGCAUCUGAAUGAACCUCUCAGU
rnacentral:misc_RNA from 1 species